rnacentral:rRNA from 1 species
GACGAACGCUGGCGGCGUGCCUAAUACAUGCCAGUAGAACGCUGAAGGAGGAGCUUGCUUCUCCGGAUGAGUUGCGAACGGGUGAGUAACGCGUAGGUAACCUGCCUGGUAGCGGGGGAUAACUAUUGGAAACGAUAGCUAAUACCGCAUAAGAGUAGAUGUUGCAUGACAUUUGCUUAAAAGGUGCAAUUGCAUCACUACCAGAUGGACCUGCGUUGUAUUAGCUAGUUGGUGAGGUAACGGCUCACCAAGGCGACGAUACAUAGCCGACCUGAGAGGGUGAUCGGCCACACUGGGACUGAGACACGGCCCAGACUCCUACGGGAGGCAGCAGUAGGGAAUCUUCGGCAAUGGACGGAAGUCUGACCGAGCAACGCCGCGUGAGUGAAGAAGGUUUUCGGAUCGUAAAGCUCUGUUGUAAGAGAAGAACGAGUGUGAGAGUGGAAAGUUCACACUGUGACGGUAUCUUACCAGAAAGGGACGGCUAACUACGUG